GCCAUAGCGGGUGAUAGCCCCGUAGGCGAAAACAGUAUGAAAGAACUAGGUGUGCGACAAGUAGGGCGGGACACGUGAAAUCCUGUCUGAAGAUGGGGGGACCAUCCUCCAAGGCUAAAUACUCGUGAUCGACCGAUAGUGAACCAGUACCGUGAGGGAAAGGUGAAAAGAACCCCGGGAGGGGAGUGAAAUAGAUCCUGAAACCGCAUGCAUACAAACAGUCGGAGCCUCGAAAGGGGUGACGGCGUACCUUUUGUAUAAUGGGUCAGCGACUUACGUUCAGUAGCAAGCUUAACCGUAUAGGGCAGGCGUAGCGAAAGCGAGUCCGAAUAGGGCGUUCAGUUGCUGGGCGUAGACCCGAAACCAAGUGAUCUAUCCAUGGCCAGGAUGAAGGUGCGGUAACACGUACUGGAGGUCCGAACCCACUAACGUUGAAAAGUUAGGGGAUGAGCUGUGGAUAGGGGUGAAAGGCUAAACAAACUUGGAAAUAGCUGGUUCUCUCCGAAAACUAUUUAGGUAGUGCCUCGUGUCUCACCUUCGGGGGUAGAGCACUGUCAUGGUUGGGGGGUCUAUUGCAGAUUACCCCGCCAUAGCAAACUCCGAAUACCGAAGAGUGCAAUCACGGGAGACAGACAUCGGGUGCUAACGUCCGGUGUCAAGAGGGAAACAACCCAGACCGCCAGCUAAGGUCCCCAAAUAUAGCUAAGUGGGAAACGAAGUGGGAAGGCUAAAACAGUCAGGAGGUUGGCUUAGAAGCAGCCACCCUUUAAAGAAAGCGUAAUAGCUCACUGAUCGAGUCGUCCUGCGCGGAAGAUGUAACGGGGCUAAGCUAUAUACCGAAGCUGCGGAUGCGUGCUUUGCACGCAUGGUAGGAGAGCGUUCUGUAAGCCUGCGAAGGUGUCUCGGAAGGGAUGCUGGAGGUAUCAGAAGUGCGAAUGCUGACAUGAGUAGCGAUAAAGGGGGUGAAAGGCCCCCUCGCCGUAAGCCCAAGGUUUCCUACGCAACGUUCAUCGGCGUAGGGUGAGUCGGCCCCUAAGGCGAGGCAGAAAUGCGUAGCUGAUGGGAAGCAGGUCAAUAUUCCUGCACCAUUGUUAGAUGCGAUGGGGGGACGGAUCGCGGAAGGUUGUCCGGGUGUUGGAAGUCCCGGU
rnacentral:rRNA from 1 species